AACGCACAUUGCGCCUUCCGGUAUUCCGGAAGGCAUGCCUGUUCGAGCGUCAUCAAACCUCUCAGAAACAGCUUUAUGUUGUGUCUGGAAUUGAAGUAAGAGAGUCAUCAGUUGAUUCUCUGCUUUGAAACUCAAUGGCAAACUAUGCUCUGCAUUUUUAACGUAGUAACAUUACAAUCGUUAGGAAGCACAGAUGUGUAGCCGAAACCCUCUAUAUUCUUUAGGUUGACCUCGGAUCAGGUAGGGAUACCCGCUGAACUUAA
rnacentral:misc_RNA from 1 species